rnacentral:rRNA from 1 species
CACGUAGGGGGCGAGCGUUGUCCGGAUUUAUUGGGCGUAAAGAGCUCGUAGGCGGCUCAGUAAGUCGGGUGUGAAAACUCCAGGCUCAACCUGGAGACGCCACCUGAUACUGCUGUGGCUAGAGUCCGGUAGGGGAGCAUGGAAUUCCUGGUGUAGCGGUGAAAUGCGCAGAUAUCAGGAGGAACACCAGUGGCGAAGGCGGUGCUCUGGGCCGGAACUGACGCUGAGGAGCGAAAGCUAGGGGAGCGAACAGG